AGGCGUGAUAGAGGCGCGGCCUUCAUCAGUAGCUCCGCAUGCAUGUCCGGAAAGACGCGGGGCGAAAGGGACGGACCGCCGAAGGGCGCAGCGGUUUCCGACGCUGCGAGCCUGGGACGCAGGACAAUAUCCUGCGGACUGCCGCCGAUGCGGAUGAGCUAUCAGGGCC
rnacentral:ncRNA from 2 species